UACAAGUGAGGUCUUCUGAUUCUAAGUCAAGAGAUCUUUUACUAUACCUCAGAGGUCUUCUGGCAAAAAUGGAAAACUUAAAAACAGACAGUAUAUUAAAUACUGUCCCAAGGCUAGAGUCCAGGUAGAAAACUCUAAACAUUCCAUACAUUUGGUCCACUUCUCACAAGUUAAGUUUCACUAGCGCAUGCUUUGUUUUAAUUAUGGCAAAGAAUGCUUGGUCUUGUUCCAGUCUACUCAGUUUCUUCUUCUUCCUAAGCCUUCUGUCUCUGGUCUCUGCCUUGUGCGCCUCCCCCCACCCCCCCCAACCCCUGCCCAUCCCAAGGACUGAUAAGUAGGACUCUGCUGUGUGAAUCACAAACACCUACAACUGAGACAAGCACACAAUCAACUUGCUAGGAGAUCCAUGCCACUUAAGAGGCUGCAGGCAGCUGCCCCCAUCCAGACUUCUUCACAGGAGAAUUCCAGAGGCCACAGAACUUCGCAUUCAUGGGGGAUUCCCCUCGGAACAUCUUGUCAACAGAGCACACACUCCUAAUCUGACAGGAGGAGUGGGUUUUCCUAUCCAGGCAGGUGACAUAGAGAAUGCCAGCCUAUUGACAUGAAGCCAAAGGGCAGUUGGCUCAAUUAAUCCAAUUCAUUGAAAAUUCUCUUCAACAUGUCCAAGAAUCCCAGUGAACCCCAAAGUACAUAAACACAAACCACACCAAGGCACUACACAAUCAAAUUUCUGAAAAGCAGGGAUAAAGACAAAAUCUUUAAGAUGAGACUAAUCACUGGUUUGUCAUCAAAAACAAUGCAAACCAGAAGAUACUGGGAACAUCUUUAUUUUUUUAAAGUUUAUUUAUUUAUUUUGAGAAAGAGAUUGCGUGGGAGGAGCAGAGAGCGAGAG